AGGUAUUGCUAUCCAAUGCGGAGCUGGCUAGACUAAGCAAGGAUCUAGCAAUAUUACGAUGUGAUCUGCCAUCCUACAUGGUUCCUUUUGCCCCUGAUGACUUGAUAUUUGAGAAACCAGAGGAUGGCGGGGAGAAAUUUACUAGCCUCUUAACGGCUAUUAGUGCUUAUGCUGAAGGAUUUUCCGCGGAUACCAUAAUUAGAAGAGCUUUGUAUUUGUGGAAGAAGCUUGAGAAGCAAAAUACAUAUACGGUGCACCAGAAACUUCUAUCAGCCUGAUCGGAGACUCUGAUGUCCUGAAAACCGAUGGUGAUACAAUUCCUAGUUCUUCUGUUCAUAGCUUUUUUUUGGGAUUAUAGAUUAUCAUUGAAAACCAAAAUGAACUAGGUAGGGUAUACUGGUCAGAGCACCUCCUUGUAAAAUUAACCAGUGAGCAUUCUGCAUUAGUAAUUGGUCUUUUACUGUAACGUGCUUCAUAUUACUGAAACAUGAUAUGCAGUAGCAUUACUGGAAUUCGGAAUUAUUAAGAGAAAUCCAAAAAAAUUGGAUUUCCUUUGUGCCAUUUGGAUGGAUAAAGAAAUUCAAGGGAAAAUGGAGAUUAUUAUAUUUG